rnacentral:tRNA from 1 species
UGUGAAUAGCUUAUUGAAAGUUUAAGAUUCUUACUCUUGGGAUGUGUGUUGACACUUUACAGAA